AUUGAACGCUGGCGGUAUGCUUAACACAUGCAAGUCGAACGGCAGCACGGUAUGUAGCAAUACAUAUGGGUGGCAAGUGGCGGACGGGUGAGUAACGCGUAGGAAUCUGCCCUCAAGCGGUGGACAACCCGAGGAAACUCGGGCUAAUACCGCAUAAACGCGGAAGAGAAAAGCAGGGGUAAUCUGGAACUUGAGGAGGAGCCUGCGUCUGAUUAGCUAGUUGGGAGGGUAAAGGCCUACCAAGCCGAUGAUCAGUAGCUGGUCUGAAAGGACGACCAGCCACACUGGAACUGAGACACGGUCCAGACUACUACGGGAGGCAGCAGUGGGGAGUAUUGGACAAUGGGGGAAACCCUGGUCCGGCAAUACCGCGUGUGUGAAGAAGGCCUUCGGGUUGUAAAGCACUUUAGUUGGGGAGGAAGGUUAGCAGUUUAAGAGAUGGCUAAUUUGACUGUACCCAAAGAAUAAGCACCGGCUAACUCUGUGCCAGCCGCCGCGGUAA
rnacentral:rRNA from 1 species